GGCCAUGUAGCUCAACGGUAGCGCAUCUGACUCCAGAUCAGAAGUGAGUCCGCUUGAAUCGGGCCUUGUUUU